GCCCCUGUAGCGCAGCUGGACAGCGCGCCGGACUACGAAUCCGGAGGCCGGGAGUUCGACUCUCCCCAGGGGCAC
rnacentral:tRNA from 1 species